rnacentral:rRNA from 1 species
AUUUAGAGGAAGUAAAAGUCGUAACAAGGUCUCCGUAGGUGACACUGCGGGAGGAUCAUUA